UCAAAAUUCCUCCCCCGUACGCACAGAACGACUACGACCGACGCCGCCGCACAAAUUCUUUUCAUCGACCGCAUGCCGCCUGCACACAGCCACCGCCGGCAAGAAGGUUUCGCACGCUAUGGUGAAUUGAGUUCGUGUAUCGAAUAUGUCGACGGAAGAAGAGGAGAACCCAACGGACCUUCAAAUCCCCGAUGGUGUUGGUUGAAGGUGGAGUUAAUUCGAGAACCUCAAUUCUGAAUAUGCCACAUUAUCUUAAUGCUCUUAACAACGCCAUGGUGGUGAUAUUGUGUCCAUCUAUAAUAUGCUGAAAGAAGGGCUGCUACCGUUCCGAACGCUCAUUCUACGAACGAUAUCUGUAGCGCAAACACUAAGGUUGUCCACGUCAAGCCAAUCAAAUGGACAUUCAAGGAUCUUGUUCGACAUCCGUAACUUCCGUAUAUGUUCACUUUCACGUUGCAUGCGGCGAUGCAGCAUUGCACGUAAUUAUAUAAUGAUUAACUUUUGUUUGAGGGUUGAUACCGAAUGAGUCAUUUCUGUUGGUUGAACUUGCAUAUUCUGAUUAGUUUUGUGUUUGUUGCAAUGCUUUGCCCUUGGAUUGUAUAUGUUUGGCCGAAUUGCAAAUAAUUAUGUUCCUAGACAAUGUGCACUGGGUACACCUGAUGGUGAUAUAGAUUUUCUAUA